GCUGGGGGCAGUGGCACGUGCCUGUAGUCCGGCUACUUGAGAGGCUGUGAUGGGAGGAUUGCUUGAGCCCAGGAGUUCUGGGCUGUACUGCACUAUGCCAAUCAGGUGUCCACACCAAGUUCGGCAUCAAUAUGGUGACCUCCUGGGAGUGGGGGACCACCAGGUUGCCUAAGGAGGGGUGAACGGGCCUAGCUCGGAAACGGAGCAGGUCAAAACUCCUGUGCUGAUCAGUAGUAGGAUCGUGCCUGUGAAUAGCCAAUGCACUCCAGCCUGGACAACAGAGAGAGACCCCGUCUC
rnacentral:SRP_RNA from 1 species